rnacentral:rRNA from 1 species
AUUGAACGCUGGCGGCAGGCCUAACACAUGCAAGUCGAACGAGUGGCGGACGGGUGCGUAAUGUCUGGGCAACUGCCUGAUGGAGGGGGAUAACUACUGGAAACGGUAGCUAAUACCGCAUACCAUCGGAUGUGCCCAGAUUGGAUUAGCUAGUAGGUGGGGUAAAGGCUCACCUAGGCGACGAUCCCUAGCUGGUCUGAGAGGGUGACCAGACACACUGGAACUGAGACACGGUCCAGACUCCUACGGGAGGCAGAAGUGGGGAAUAUUGGACAAUGGGCGAAAGCCUGAUGCAGCCAUGCCGCGUGUGUGAAGAAGGCCUUCGGGUUGUAAAGUACGUUUAGCAGGGAGGCGUUAUCCGCAGAAGAAGCACCGGCUAACUCCGUGCCAGCAGCCGCGGUAAUUC